GCAAAUUAUCAAAUUUGCCAUUACGUUGGGGUCCGAGUGGUCAGUGGUCAUAAACCCUUCUCCCUCCUCAGCCUCCUCUUUCCCCCUCUCGAAAGACUGCGCGGCCGCGAAGCCAAACCCUAGCCUCCGCCCCCCCUCGAAUCCGCAUCGUCUUCAGCGGGGAGGGAUGAGCAGGCGCUGGAGCAGGACGAUCUAUGUUGGCAACCUCCCUGGGGAUAUCCGGGAGAGGGAGGUGGAGGACCUCUUCUACAAGUAUGGCCGUAUUGUUGAUAUUGACCUGAAGGUUCCUCCAAGGCCGCCUGGCUAUGCUUUUGUUGAGUUUGAAGAUCCUCGUGACGCCGAAGAUGCCUGUGCUGGAAGGGAUGGGUACAACUUUGAUGGAAAUCGUCUAAGAGUGGAACCUGCUCAUGGUGGGAGAGGUAGUGGUGGCCCCUCUCAUGAUCGUUCUAGCAGCUUUGGUGGUGGUGGUGGUGGCGGCGGCGGUGGUGGACGCCGGGGUGUCUCCAGGCACACGGAUUACCGUGUUCUGGUUACUGGCCUGCCUUCUUCUGCAUCCUGGCAAGAUUUAAAGGACCAUAUGCGAAGGGCUGGUGAUGUUUGUUUCGCAGAAGUGUAUCGUGAAGGCGGCGGCACCAUAGGAAUUGUUGACUACACAAACUAUGAUGAUAUGAAAUAUGCUAUAAAGAAACUGGAUGACACUGAAUUUAAGAAUGCAUUUUCUAAAGGUUAUAUAAGGGUGAAGGAAUAUGAUGGCAAAUGUGGGCGCUCCUACUCACGUAGCCGGAGCCCAAGUCGUAGCCGCAGCAAAAGCAGGAGCCCAAGCAAAUCUCCCAGGGCCCGCUCAGCAUCUAGGUCCAGAUCAAGGUCUCGUUCUUCCCGUUCUCGUUCAGCAUCAAAAGGACGUUCUCCAUCAAGACCAUUCUUCAUUUUAUCUGGGAUUGUGCGGCGAUCUGGGGAUUGCACAUUAGGAUAUUGAGGAUGGAAUUUGCUACAAUUGUGUUGGUUGUAUGAGAGCUUGGGCAUAGCACACUUUUUGGAAUUCUGGACAUAAGAGCCUUAAGGAAUGACGAUAUGGAUUAUGAUGGUACAGUGACUAGGAAUUUGCUUGGGAGUCCAAUGCAUGAGGAAUGAGUUUGCUUCCUACUUGUACUCUCCACAUGGUUGUAGUUUGCAUGCACUAAUUGCAUUCAGUACCAGAUGUUUGCAUUUCCUUGAGCUCUUUUCGCUUUCAUUUGGUUAGUCCAAUACCGGAUCACCAGCAAGAUCCAAAUCCCCAAUAGCUUCUCCGGCAAAUGGUGUAGUGGCAAGUCCAGCGGCAAGCCUGAAGAAACGCAGUCCAAGCAGGAGUCCAUCUCGGUCACGGUCACCUGAUGUAAAUGCGAAAUCUGAAUAGAAGCACUGCACCGGGGCAGAUGAGGCGUGUGCUCCGGUCUAGAUAUUUGUUGUCCUCUAUGCUUCUUGAGAAUUACCUGGAUGUCAGCAACUGUCCAAUGAGUCUCCUUUAUUGUGUGAACAAUGUCAACUUGUAUUGCUGAAGACAUCGAACUAGCACUAUCAUAUGCGAUGCCUGCAGCCAGUCUUUCAGUCAACUUGUACUUUGUCUGUUACCCUUAAGUGGAUGUAUCUAGUACUAACUUGGAGUUAGACACAUCCAUUUGAGGAACAAGCUUGGGACAAGCUUUCGGAUAUAGGGAGUAUUUCGUGGAUUUUGUUCAAAAAUCAUGCAAGACGUUUGUGUAUUCAUGUUUCAUGCUUUUUCUCACCA